rnacentral:rRNA from 1 species
CCUUACGGCCAUACCAACCUGAAAGCGCCCGAUCUCGUCAGAUCUCGGAAGCUAAGCAAGGUCGGGUCUGGUUAGUACUUGGAUGGGAGACUUCCAGGGAAUACCAGGUGCUGUAAGCA